rnacentral:rRNA from 1 species
UUAAAUUGCUGUGGUAUUGAAGACUAUACGAAGGUAUUGACAUAAGACUUUAAUUGAGUGCUAAGAGAAUGGUUUAACAAAAAUAGGCUUUUUUUUUAUUUAAAAUUGAAGUUAAUUUAAAAACGAAAAAGUUUUUAUGAAAUUUUAGGACAAGAAGACCCUAUGAAUUUUUUUAAAAAGCUUUUUUUUCAGGUUUUUUUAAAAAAAUUUAGAGAAGUUUUUAAUUAAUUGGGGCGAUUUUUAAAUUUUUAGAAACUUUAAAGAUAUGAUAUUGGAACCAAUAUUAUUGAUAUAUUAAUGAAAAUACUCUAGGGAUAACAGCGUUAUUACUUUGGAUAGUUCAUAUAGAUAAAGUAGAUUGCGACCUCGAUCUUGGAUUAGGAUACCUUUAUUAGUGAAGAAGUUCUAAAAGGAGGUUUGCUCAACCUUUAAAUUCCUAC